AGUGAACGCUGGCGAUAGGCCUAACACAUGCAAGUCGAACGGCAGCACAGUAAGAGCUUGCUCUUACGGGUGGCGAGUGGCGGACGGGUGAGGAAUACAUCGGAAUCUACUUUUUCGUGGGGGAUAACGUAGGGAAACUUACGCUAAUACCGCAUACGACCUACGGGUGAAAGCAGGGGAUCUUCGGACCUUGCGCGAUUGAAUGAGCCGAUGUCGGAUUAGCUAGUUGGCGGGGUAAAGGCCCACCAAGGCGACGAUCCGUAGCUGGUCUGAGAGGAUGAUCCGCCACACUGGAACUGAGACACGGUCCAGACUCCUACGGGAGGCAGCAGUGGGGAAUAUUGGACAAUGGGCGCAGGCCUGAUCCAGCCAUGCCGCGUGGGUGAAGAAGGCCUUCGGGUUGUAAAGCCCUUUUGUUGGGAAAGAAAAGCAGCAGGUUAAUACCCCGCUGUUCUGACGGUACCCAAAGAAUAAGCACCGGCUAACUUCGUG
rnacentral:rRNA from 1 species